rnacentral:rRNA from 1 species
GUAACAAGGUCUCCGUAGGUGAACCUGCGGAGGGAUCAUUACACAAAUAUGAAGGCGGGCUGGAACCUCUCGGGGUUACAGCCUUGCUGAAUUAUUCACCCUUGUCUUUUGCGUACUUCUUGUUUCCUUGGUGGGUUCGCCCACCACUAGGACAAACAUAAACCUUUUGUAAUUGCAAUCAGCGUCAGUAACAAAUUAAUAAUUACAACUUUCAACAACGGAUCUCUUGGUUCUGGCAUCGAUGAAGAACGCAGCGAAAUGCGAUAAGUAGUGUGAAUUGCAGAAUUCAGUGAAUCAUCGAAUCUUUGAACGCACAUUGCGCCCUUUGGUAUUCCAAAGGGCAUGCCUGUUCGAGCGUCAUUUGUACCCUCAAGCUUUGCUUGGUGUUGGGCGUCUUGUCUCUAGCUUUGCUGGAGACUCGCCUUAAAGUAAUUGGCAGCCGGCCUACUGGUUUCGGAGCGCAGCACAAGUCGCACUCUCUAUCAGCAAAGGUCUAGCAUCCAUUAAGCCUUUUUCUCAACUUUUGACCUCGGAUCAGGUAGGGAUACCCGCUGA